CAGGUGAAAUUUAGAGAGGUAUAAAAGGUGUCCUGUUAUUUAGAAGAUUGGUCUCUUUAAUGCUUGCCUAAAUGUAACUAGAUUUCACAAGUUUGCCCUAUUUUCUCAAAAGUAGAAACGGUAAUGUGGAGUUGAGUGUAAUAAUGGUGUUCUCAAGAGCAGAAGGUGCCAUAUAAUUUAAAGUCUUAAGAGCUGCUGUGUCUUGUCUUAGGGUUUCACUAUACCACUAUGAACCACACCAAGCAAAGAGAAAGAAAGCAACUUACAUCAGGGAAGGACUAUUGGGCCUGGAUGGCCAUGUCUCAAGGAGCAGCUCUCUCAGUUUGAGGCUUCUUGGUCAACUUUUCCAUCUGUCUCUGUGGGUUUCUGCUGCUGGUAACAGUUGAAAUUUGGAGCUUGAGUGGACACUUCAGAGAGAAGAAGACUGAGCUUCUUUCUAGAGAAUAUUAUUGCAAUUUUAGUUUGGAGUGUUUUAACCAACAGUUGUAAAACUGCCAGCUACAGCACACGUUGAUUUUUGUUCAGCUCAAGGUCACUGUGAAUAUGUAU
rnacentral:lncRNA from 1 species